UAAAGAUGCCUCCCCUGUCUAUAUAUAUUCCCCACGGCCUGAGAGGUUGGCAUCACCAACCAUAAGACACCACAUUCUCAUUGUUCUCACAUAAAAGAUUUGAAUCCAUCGAUCCCUUGAAAGACACCGCUCAGAGAACUCCAUCAGACCCAGUUCCUUCUGUCCUUUGAUUCCACGAUGGCAACGCCACAACCCGAGCAGAAUCUGCCUCCUCCUGGCUACCCAACCGAGAACCCACCUACCACGGGGGGCAAGAAGAAGUGGUUCGUUCGUUCAAAGAAGAGGGGAGAGAGGGGCUUCAUUGAAGGAUGCCUGUUUGCUCUAUGCUGUUGCUGGAUCUGUGAAGAAUGUUGCUGCUAAACUAUGGGUUUUCUCAGAGGAAUUGAUAUCUAUAUACAAUAUGUAUUUGGCUGUCGUGUUGUACUGAAUUUGUGAGGUCAUAUGCGGUAAUAACUUGCGACGAUCUGUACUCUACCUCGUUCAUUUCGAUAUUCUUUUGUCCUAA